ACGUGGUGCGGUGGGGGCCAGGCCAGGCCCCAGUGGCUGCUGGGCAGAGGAGGAGGCCAUCAGCCACUGAGUCCGAGCCUGGCUGCUGAGAUCCUGGCCCAUCCCCUGCGUGGCCGCUGGAAAAAACCCAGAGGCGGCACUACAGCCCACACAGAAAGCACCCCACAGCUGGAACUGAACGCAGCUGGGGCCAGAAGACAGCCAUGCUGCCAGAGCCUCCACCGCUGUUCUGGCCCAGGCGCCCUGAGAUUCUGACACAGGCCCCCCAGCGCAGCCUGAAAAUCCAGCACUGCGAGUGCUCCGGCCACCACCGGCAGAAAUCACACGGACCAUAAGCAGGACUGGGCAAGAUUAACUCUUUCAGUGCUGUGAAAACCCCCAAAACCGAUGAGACUUGCAGAUGCCAAUCCUCUCUUGAGUGAGAGGAAAGGACAGAGUGAAGACACAUAUAGAAAUAACAUGAAGAUGCCAAGGAAGAAGUCAAGUCCCAGAUGGGAGGAGAAUAAGGAGAUGCCUUAUUCUUAGGCUAAAAUUCUUUUAGUAAGGCCUUGGUGAUGGACUAUGAUACACUAGAAUAUCCCUUUAAUUAAUGAAAAAAGUAUGGGGGGAUGGAGUGUUCAAACUGUUGAUGAGCAAAAGUAUCCAUAUUGAGGCAAGCAGAUGUUGAAGUAGCUGUGAUUGAAGCAAGAAGCUUAAACAGAGAGAGAUAAGAGUGAUGAAGACCCUUUGACCCCAGGGAAAGAAGAAGAUCUCUGUUCCCAGAGAUGAAGAUGAUUUCAGAGAUAGAUAAAGAGAACUUUUGCUGUUGAAUAGCUCAUACUUAAAAUAGUACCCCAUAAGUUUAACGUGGUCCAUGAGCGCAGCUGUGGGAAGGCUGGGAAAGAUGGGAGGGACUUCAUGAUUGCAAAUUUUCAGGCAGCUGCUAUUUGUGGAAAUUAAAAGACGAGAGAACUGUUUCUUAUGGAGAGGUCUCCAUGGCAUGGCAAAAGAGACUCCUCUCCCUAAAAGAACUAAUGAAACACCAUUCUGAAGUGGUAAAAUGACUGAAAAUACCAAAUUUGUCUCCUUACAUUGACAGUAGGAAAACAAAAGUUGGGAGCAGAUGUGUUCUGAAGACUUCAACCAGAUCUGGUCCCCCUGGCACAAGACAUAGACCUGUUAGAGUGGCCAUGAACAGAAAGCACCUCUCCUGUGAAGACAGCUGAGAGAUCUGGGCUUGGUCAGCCCAGAGAAGAGAAGGCCCCAAAACAGCUUGAAGAGAGCCUGAGGAAGAUGAGGUCAAACUUUUUAGCCGGGCCUGUUGCAAUUGGACAAGAGCCAGAUGUCCUCUGGCAAGGAAAAAAGUGCUACCAACAAUGAGCAUCGUGACAUAGGUAUUUUAACUGGGGCUAAGAGGGAAAGCCUUUAAAACCAGCACAUUGAAUAGCACAGCUAGAUAGUAAGCCAGCUGUUUUUAAUUGCUGACAUGAUGAGUAAUAUACUGUUCCACCAAAUUUUCAUAUAUUUUGAAGCUCCAAAUACUGUUUCCAAAGUACACUCCAUACACUGGAUAUGCUACACUCAGAGAACUUUACUAAUAUAAGUAAACACAACUAAUUAUAAGACAAAAUAUAGCAUUCUAAAAUUAAUAUUUAUAUUGCAGAAGAGCCAGAAAUAUAUUAUUAUUUUUAAAAAAGUUUUCAUGAUGUAUAGAUAGUGUUUAUAGAAGAGUUUUUUUUCUUUAUUGAACUGUCUUGACUCAAUAUAAAUAAUUUAGAAUAUAUAUUUUGAAGAAUCUGGAUACAAGACAUCUUUUUUGCAGUUAUCCUUUACUCUUAAGCAGGUUGCAUCCACUCCAUUCUCAAGAUUUUUAAGUUUGUGUAUUAUUAGUUCACUCCCAAUCCAAAGCUUAACUACACAGGAGUUUUGCUACUGUGUCUCUUAAAAAUAAUAGUUUUUUUCAAAAGAGUCCUUAACUCAAAUGUCAAUGAAUUUUGAUUAAAUAAUAUCCACAGACGGUUUCAAAAAUGCCAGCAGCAUGCAAAAGUACAUUAAGGCACAUGUUGCUGUCAUUGUUUCCUUAUCACUGCUGCAAUUUUAAGUUAGAUAUUCUAUUGCCACUCAGUGUCUGUCUUCUUCACCAAACACCUCAUUUUCAUCAGUGUAGUUUCACAUAUUUUGCUACCUCUUCAUAAAAUAAAAAAACAUGUAUGUUAUGUAUUCCUUUUCCCUUCCUGCCAGCCCGAACAUUUCAUUAAAAUUCCUUGCAAUUAAAUCAGGUUCAGAUUCUAGAUUAACCAACAACAGCAGCCUCAAAUUGUCUGCAGUUAUGCAAAUAGAGUGCUAAGUUUACAGAAAGCUUUAAUAGACAGGUCAGCUAAGGAGACAAGGGAACAGUGGGACAGUCUGUUAAAGUUAAUUGGCUUGUUAAAGUAAUUACUUUACAUUGGGCACAAUGCUAUUAUGAACUUAUUCUGAUUUAUUUUUUAUUUAUUCCUUCCAUGAGAAAUUUCUCUUUCUGCUGUGAAAAGCUGAACCACCCCCCAGCAUGAAGAGAAGAAAGCACCCUUACUUCUUUUCCAAGAUAAGAUGUGGAAUCCAACUUGAUCUGAUUGACCUUGGGAUCAAGACUGGGGAAGAUUUUAAAUUUAUGUGGAAAUAAUUGAUUGAUAUGGCAGCACAUUGCAGGAAGAACCAGCAACCAACAGGAGAGAAAGCAUCCUGUCAAAUACUGCUUGUGCCUUAGCUGGCCAGACUGUUGGGAUUCAACAAUGUUCACUGUGUCCUGAGUAACAACUAAAGUCAUUUUUCUUCACAGUGAAGCUUCAAGUCCCUGCUAAAGGUGGUGAAAGCAUCUUGACUUCAACAAAGACAGCACUACAGAAAACUGUACCAGUCCAUGGACACUCCAGCUGCCUGACACUGCUGUAUCAACAAGCCAUCUUGCUACAAGAGCUAUUGGCUUCCAUACUACUGAACAUUUACUUCCCUACUAUUACAUGGCUGUCUGAUUUUAUUUAUUUUUUUCACUGUGAGCAGCUCGUUUCUGAAUAAAUUAACUAUAGAUCAAUUAAACAUAAUGCAAGUUAGCACUUUGUCUAAUUCACUGCAAAGCUGAAACUCACAAGUAAUGCAUUUAGCAAUUACUUGAGUCAGAAUAUUACAGAUAUUUCUUCUGGGAAACAACUAUAUUCCAAUUUUAAGUAAGAUCAAGCACUUCAGACUUUAUUCUACAGUGGAAUAUCAUUUAAGUUGUUCAUUAGAUUAAAGCUUGUGACAGAUUAUAAUGCUACAAGAGUCCUUAUGAAGUUUAAUUAGGUUCUUUAAGCAUGUUUUACAAAACACUGCUGACACAGUAGUAAAGUGUGGAUUUGUUAUCUUUCAUGAUUGUAAAUUACAUCCCAAAGCUGUUACCAGACUACUAGUCUCUUAACUCAAUUUCUGUAGCAAUAUUAAAUUGCAGUGGUAAUGAACACUCACAAAAUACCAUUAUCAAGUUCGCAAAUCCUAAAAUGCCUUUAAUAAUUCACUAAGAUUGAAUUUACACUGGACCAUUUCCCAGGUGCUAGGGAUAAUGAUAAAGCACCUUACCUUUUAUCAACCAACCAUUUCAGAUGACAAGCAGAGUAAUGCAGAAUGGUGAUGUAUGUGCAUGGUGCUUUACACCUAAACCAGAUUUAAUUCUUUCUGGUGAUGUCCUUAUGGACAGAUCAAUCUAAAACAAAGUAGAUCCAUCAGCUGGUCUUUUUGUUUUGCCACAUGACAGUUUCCUCAAUAAAUGGUGUGUGAAUUGGUACUUCCAGUGCAAGACACUCUAUUAAUUCAAAAAAAUGUAGUGAAGAUAAUAAAAUUUCUUGCAUUGCAAAUAAUCUGGAACAUUGGAAUAUCAGCUCCUACAACUGAAAAAAACAGGACUGAAAUUUUCUCAAAACAUUUCAAAAAAGCAGCACUCACUAAUUAGUUAUUUAACAUAUGGUCUCACUGAAUAAUUUGCUGUCACAGAUCCUUUAUCUUGUUAUUGUUUUCAGUAAAAUAAUUGAAAUAAUAUGUAUAACAAAAAUAAUGCAUUUGAUUACAGAAAAUUAUCACUAUGACUAGGCUUUACAUUUUCUCCAAUUUCCCAGUCACCCAUUGUAGGACUUUUUGCACAUGUACAGAUGGAAACAUUGAUGAAGAAAAGGAUUCCAGUUUCAGGCUGGUUUGGUACUUCUUACUUUUUACCUGUACGCAGUCUACUCUGUGUUGUAGCUCUAUGUAUGCAUAUAUGUAUGUGGUUGUGACCUUACUACUUUUAGCAGAUGUGCACGACUGUUGAGUAUUUUUAUUUUAACAUUUGCUUAUAUGAGUUCAUUCUGAACAAAAAUGUACAAAUCCUAAAUAAUGUGAUGGAAACUUUUACAAACAGUAAUUUAAUUUAAUUUUUUUUUUCCACAUGAAAUUUUCAAAUUGAUUCUGUAAACCUAACAAAUAGUAUAGUAUGUUUACACAAUCUGCCUGUGAUAAGCCAGGCAAACAAACGGUCUGAAAUUUUUACUAUCUUAUUAGCAGAGCUAAGAUUUCCACUAAAUAACUUCUACAGAUAAUGUGAUAUUUUUUAUUUUCAAAAUUUACACAUUCAGUUAAAAUGGUAUUAUUUUGAAAAAGGAAAGUUAUUUUCAAUAUGCUCAUGACUUUUUAAGAAAAACUAAUAGGUUUCCUAUUUUGGUAAGUUUAUUGUAAAGAAGAGCCUCAAGUAAUAUGAAUCUGAUGAUUCAAGCAAAUACAGAUUAUCAAAAUAAUGACCUUUUGCUGUUUUCAGGUUCAAUUACCUUCCUCUACUCUUAAAGUUAUUCCAAAACAUGACCAUUUAUCAAAAUCUAAAACCACCAAAUGACCUUUUAAAAACAUAUGCUUAGAGACGCAACCUUUUUCCUUCACUUCUUUAAAAAUACCUUUUAAAUAAAAUGUACAUGAGUAUAUACAUGUUUCCUGCUGCAGAAGUAUUCCCGAGUAAACAGAAAACAUUCUGUUACAGAACCACACUCUGCACCUGUUAUAUAAGUAGAUUCAGAAAUCUUUCAAGCUCUACAACUAUGAAAGGUAAUCUUGGUUGUGCUUUGAUCCAAAUUUUGUGGAAAACUAAGGGUGGAUCUUAGUCCUUCUGCUAAAUCUGUUUUAAAAAUUUAACUAUGAUAACCUGAUAGGAAGAAUUUCCAGGCUCCAUGAGAAAUGUAAGUUCUCCUUCAUAGCCUUUGUUUUUUUAAUUCUGUGCCAUAAUAUAUUUCAUUUUUUUAAAUGUAAGUUAUGUGUUCACAAAAUAACUUCAGAGCUGCUAAAUUAUGAUAUACUAAGUGAUGAAAUCCUGUCCUUUUUGUACAUUUCCAGACACAGCAAUCUUGUGUUCAUAAUUUUAAUUACAUACGCUUUUCUUUAUUGCAAACUUGAUGCAGUAUUCAGGCUCCCAAACAGAGUAAGAAGAAACAGUUUAACUAUCUGAUAAUCAAAAUUCAAACUUUCUUAAUUUCUGUAUUAAAAAUUUAGAAUUUUAAAAGAGUAAGUAGAACUGUACAUGUAAUUUACUGUUUAUUUCUUUCUCAUCUGUCUCCUAUUCAUUUAAAAAGCAAAAAAAACAAAGGCAAAGGAAAAGUAAUUUUGAAAGGCAGACAUUUAUGGUGAAUAUACAAUGUGUCAAAAAUUCUUAAGAAUUUAGUGGCAGUUUCAAAACAAUGUAACUAAAUGACUAGGUUAGUACAGUGAAAAUCUGUUAGUCCUUGUACAGAAAAAAAUACAACCUUAUAUUGGUUAUUUAUUAUAUCAGGUUAUAAUAAAAAUAUUCUGCAUAUACAGGAAUAAAAUUUAAUGUACAACAUUGUAUUUACAGAACCUGAAAUCACCAUGUGUUAACAAAAUGGCUAAAUUGUUUUGGUAAUAUAAGUUAGGCCUAGAAUUUGAGGAUUUUUCAAUAUGUAGUAAAAAUGCAGCAUUACAGUAUGCUAUGUUUCUCCUGGAAAUUACACUACAAAUAAUGCCUCAGGGAAGGUUUAUAUUGGACAUUAGGAAGAAGUUGUUUAGAGAAGGACUGACUGGGCAAUGGAAUGGCUGCCCAAGAAAGUGGUGGAGUCGCCAUCUCCGGAGGUAUUUAAGAAAAGACUGGAUGGGGCACUCAGCGCCAUGGUCCAGCUGACAAGAUGAACUCAAUCAUAGUUUGGACUCAAGGAUCUCAAAAGUGUUUUCCAACCUAGCUGAUUUUGUGAUUCUGUGAUUCUAUGUUGUUGCUGCUGAGCAGGGCUUAGACAAAGCAAAGAUGUUUUCCACUUUUCAUACUGCCAUACUGGCAAGGAGGCUGGGGGUGCGUGGGAGGCUGGGAGGAGACACAGCCAGGACAGAUGACCAAAAAUGAUCAGAGGAAUAUUAGAAUCUGCAUGAAAAAGAAGGAAGUGGGAGACGUUUGGACUGAUGGCAAUUGUCUUCCCAAGUAACCACUAUGUGUGAUAGGGCCCUGCUCUCCUGGAGGUAGCUGAGCAAUGACCUGCCUGCCCAUGAGAAACAGUGAAUCAAUUCCUUUUUGCCUGUUUGCUGUGCUUGUGUAUGCAGCUUU